GGGGGUGUGCACGAGUGGCCUUCGUUCGGUGGCCUGAAAAGCCACUGUUUAAAAAACUGCGUAGGUUCGACUCCUACCACCCCCA
rnacentral:tRNA from 1 species